UACGUAGGUGGCAAGCGUUGUCCGGAUUUACUGGGCGUAAAGAGCGCGCAGGCGGUCGUUCAAGUCGCGUGUGAAAGCCCCCGGCUCAACUGGGGAGGGUCACGCGAUACUGAUCGACUCGAAGGCAGGAGAGGGAAGUGGAAUUCCCGGUGUAGUGGUGAAAUGCGUAGAUAUCUGGAGGAACACCGGUGGCGAAGGCGGCAUCCUGGACCAACACUGACGCUGAGGAGCGAAAGCCAGGGAGCAAAGCGGG
rnacentral:rRNA from 1 species